rnacentral:ncRNA from 2 species
UCCCACUUGUCGGAGUGCCAUUUGGCUGAGAUCGUGUUUAUGCACGGGAUCCGCAGAACCUGAACAGGGCUAAAUACCUGCGUAGGGAACAAGAAAAUCUUCAUU